UACGUAGGGUGCAAGCGUUAAUCGGAAUUACUGGGCGUAAAGCGUGCGCAGGCGGCUUUGCAAGACAGAUGUGAAAUCCCCGGGCUCAACCUGGGAACUGCAUUUGUGACUGCAAGGCUAGAGUACGGUAGAGGGGGAUGGAAUUCCGCGUGUAGCAGUGAAAUGCGUAGAUAUGCGGAGGAACACCGAUGGCGAAGGCAGGUCUCUGGGCUGACACUGACGCUCAUGCACGAAAGCGUGGGGAGCAAACAGG
rnacentral:rRNA from 1 species